rnacentral:tRNA from 1 species
CUAGAUACACGGGCCUUGAUCCCGUAAACAAUUAAUUAACAGCUAAUCACUCUAUCCAGCGAGCUUAUAUCUA